UACGUAGGGGGCAAGCGUUGUCCGGAUUUAUUGGGCGUAAAGAGCGUGUAGGCGGCUAGAUAGGUCCGUUGUGAAAACUCGAGGCUCAACCUCGAGACGUCGAUGGAAACCAUCUGGCUAGAGUCCGGAAGAGGAGAGUGGAAUUCCCGGUGUAGCGGUGAAAUGCGCAGAUAUCGGGAAGAACACCCGUGGCGAAGGCGGCUCUCUGGGACGGUACUGACGCUGAGACGCGAAAGCGUGGGGAGCGAACAGG
rnacentral:rRNA from 1 species